AAUAGUUCCAACUCUUUUAUACCGAAUAAUCGAAAUUAGUUCAAAAAGUCCUUGACAUGGUUACCAUUUUAAAAAAUUCCACAUUGUAGGGGCAAACUUAUAGUUGUUGGGAUUUGGGGUGGCAACUUGAUUCAGAACUCAUAUAGGUGGUCAACAACUGAAGGCAAUAAAUCUAUUGUCCUUGCCACUAUGCUUCGUAAGGAUUGCAAAUACGGAAAUCUGGAAACUUCAAAUUACACCACCCUUGCAUUCAACCCGGAUCAUACUGCAGCACGCGCACUUGAUGAUAUUCGCCAGAAAAUAAUAGGUGGGUUGAUUGAUAUGAAGUUUGUUCAGCAAUUUAUUGAGUGGAGGUGGGCUUUCCUAGCAAGCGAGUUGUCUACAAAGGAUCCCCGACACAGGAUGUAUACAAAGAAAGCUCGGCGCAUGUAGUAGAGAUAGUAGACAUUGGUUAUGCCUAUUACGCAUGAUUGUGUGUUUCAAUUUGUAAGUGUAGUUAUCACGUACUUGGUUUGUAUGUACUAUGUAGGUGACUGUUUCGUCAUAUUUGUUUGUGUCUAUGGUGUUUUAA